rnacentral:misc_RNA from 1 species
GAUGAAGAACGUAGCGAAAUGCGAUAAGUAAUGUGAAUUGCAGAAUUCAGUGAAUCAUCGAAUCUUUGAACGCACAUUGCGCCCCCUGGCAUUCCGGGGGGCAUGCCUGUUCGAGCGUCAUUUCACCACUCAAGCCUCGCUUGGUAUUGGGCAACGCGGUCCGCCGCGUGCCGCAAAUCGACCGGCUGGGUCUUCUGUCCCCUAAGCGUUGUGGAAACUAUUCGCUAAAGGGUGUUCGGGAGGCUACGCCGUAAAACAACCCCAUUUCUAAGGUUGACCUCGGAUCAGGUAGGGAUACCCGCUGAACUUAAGCAUAUCAAUAAGCGGAGGA